CUCAUGUUUAUUCACUUUAUUUUACAGGGGUACCCAGAAUUUCAAGCUGGGGAUGCGCUGUGACCCAAAACCCAGAAACUGGAUAUUACUGGUGUUUGGGAUGGCGUGCAGGCACGAGCAUCCACUGAAGUUCCUGUUCAACUUCUUGUGUUACAGCACCGGAAAUACAACUGUCGGCAGAAGGCCAUGGAGGAAACUAAGGCAAAGGAGAAGUUGAUGGUGUGGCUAGACAGCAUUCCAGGUCAGAGGAAUGACCAUUGACGAGGCCUUUGCACAGCUUAAGUUCGACAAAAAGGGGGCAAAGACAAUGAGGCCCAGGAGAUGGCAGUCCAUAAUCAAAGUGGAAUACAAGUCCAAUUUAUAUGUUGUGGAAUUAUUCUCCAAAAAGGGGAAGUACCUGAAAAGUAUCCGUUUCCAUGGCAGAGGAAUGUUUGCAAUCAUGGAUAAAGUGCACUGCCACCACUUUGUCAAGCUGGUGGAAGGGCUCCCAUCUAAGGUGGAACAGAAGACGGGCUGUUCCAGUUGCACCAUUAUCCACGCACUAUAGGGCAACUAAUAAACUCUGUUUGUGAUUUGU